GAUGAACGCUGGCGGCGUGCUUAACACAUGCAAGUCGAACGAAGCACCUUGAUUUGAUUCUUCGGAUGAAGAUCUUGGUGACUGAGUGGCGGACGGGUGAGUAACGCGUGGGUAACCUGCCUCAUACAGGGGGAUAACAGUUAGAAAUGACUGCUAAUACCGCAUAAGACCACAGCACCGCAUGGUGCAGGGGUAAAAACUCCGGUGGUAUGAGAUGGACCCGCGUCUGAUUAGGUAGUUGGUGGGGUAACGGCCUACCAAGCCGACGAUCAGUAGCCGAACUGAGAGGGUGACCGGCCACAUUGGGACUGAGACACGGCCCAAACUCCUACGGGAGGCAGCAGUGGGGAAUAUUGCACAAUGGGGGAAACCCUGAUGCAGCGACGCCGCGUGAGCGAUGAAGUAUUUCGGUAUGUAAAGCUCUAUCAGCAGGGAAGAAAAUGACGGUACCUGACUAAGAAGCACCGGCUAAAUACGUG
rnacentral:rRNA from 1 species